rnacentral:lncRNA from 1 species
GGAUUCCCUGCUGCUGGAGACAGGCUUCCUGGCUAUUCUGGUAGCCCCCCUGAGGCGGCCUUCCAAACACAAGAUUCCCCAGGGUGGAUUAGCAGGAGCCUUACCCCAUGAAGACCUCCCAUUCUGGCUUGUACGCUGGCUGCUCUUCCGACUCAUGUUCGCCUCUGGUGUGGUCAAGCUGACCAGCCGCUGCCCUGCGUGGUGGGGACUCACUGGUGAGGGCCCAGGCCUGAAGCUGGGAUGGUCUGUCUAGAGGUUCUAACCAGCCCUGACCUCCAGCCAUUACCUGCAGCUCUGACCUACCACUAUGAGACACAGUGCCUGCCCACACCAGCUGCCUGGUUUGCCCACCACCUGCCAGUCUGGCUGCACAGGCUCAGCGUGGUGGCCACCUUCCUCAUCGAGAUUGCGGUGCCACCCCUGUUCUUUGCCCCCAUUCGCCGCCUACGACUGUCCGCCUUCUAUGCUCAGGCCUUACUGCAAAUCCUGAUUAUCAUUACGGGU